rnacentral:rRNA from 1 species
AGUGACGCUGCUAUAAUGCAGUCGAGCGGACAGAUGGGAGCUUGCUCCCUGAUGUUAGCGGCGGACGGGUGAGUAACACGUGGGUAACCUGCCUGUAAGACUGGGAUAACUCCGGGAAACCGGGGCUAAUACCGGAUGGUUGUUUGAACCGCAUGGUUCAAACAUAAAAGGUGGCUUCGGCUACCACUUACAGAUGGACCCGCGGCGCAUUAGCUAGUUGGUGAGGUAACGGCUCACCAAGGCAACGAUGCGUAGCCGACCUGAGAGGGUGAUCGGCCACACUGGGACUGAGACACGGCCCAGACUCCUACGGGAGGCAGCAGUAGGGAAUCUUCCGCAAUGGACGAAAGUCUGACGGAGCAACGCCGCGUGAGUGAUGAAGGUUUUCGGAUCGUAAAGCUCUGUUGUUAGGGAAGAACAAGUACCGUUCGAAUAGGGCGGUACCUUGACGGUACCUAACCAGAAAGCCACGGCUAACUACGUGCCAGCAGCCGCGGUAAUACGUAGGUGGCAAGCGUUGUCCGGAAUUAUUGGGCGUAAAGGGCUCGCAGGCGGUUUCUUAAGUCUGAUGUGAAAGCCCCCGGCUCAACCGGGGAGGGUCAUUGGAAACUGGGGAACUUGAGUGCAGAAGAGGAGAGUGGAAUUCCACGUGUAGCGGUGAAAUGCGUAGAGAUGUGGAGGAACACCAGUGGCGAAGGCGACUCUCUGGUCUGUAACUGACGCUGAGGAGCGAAAGCGUGGGGAGCGAACAGGAUUAGAUACCCUGGUAGUCCACGCCGUAAACGAUGAGUGCUAAGUGGUUAGGGGGUUUCCGCCCCUUAGUGCUGCAGCUAACGCAUUAAGCACUCCGCCUGGGGGAGUACGGUCGCAAGACUGAAACUCAAAGGAAUUGACGGGGG